rnacentral:rRNA from 1 species
CAGCAGCCGCGGUAAUACAGAGGGUGCGAGCGUUAAUCGGAUUUACUGGGCGUAAAGCGUGCGUAGUCGGCUUCUUAAGUCGGAUGUGAAAUCCCUGAGCUUAACUUAGGAAUUGCAUUCGAUACUGGGAAGCUAGAGUAUGGGAGAGGAUGGUAGAAUUCCAGGUGUAGCGGUGAAAUGCGUAGAGAUCUGGAGGAAUACCGAUGGCGAAGGCAGCCAUCUGGCCUAAUACUGACGCUGAGGUACGAAAGCAUGGGGAGCAAACAGGAUUAGAUACCCCUGUAGUCCCUGUCUCUUAUAC